rnacentral:misc_RNA from 1 species
AGAGUACCACUCUCUGACUCUCAUAGAGAAGGUGUUGAUAUCCUUGUCCAGAGUAUCAAGCAAAAAGAUGGCCUGAAUCACCAUGUUAUCCACUCUGUUGACAUUGAACUUCACCUUCGCCCGACUAUAACUAUGCGCCAACCCCAACUGAGACAACUCCAAAUCCUUCGGCUUCAGAUCCUUGAUGAACCGAUCAAAAUGCAGACGCACGCCGCGAAGCAACUCGAGCACAAACUCGUUGCUCUGGCACGGAAUCUUCG